rnacentral:rRNA from 1 species
UCCUCCCUCUUUCUUCGUGCUUAACACAUGCAAGUCGAACGGAAAGGCCCUGCUUUUGUGGGGUGCUCGAGUGGCGAACGGGUGAGUAACACGUGAGUAACCUGCCCUUGACUUUGGGAUAACUUCAGGAAACUGGGGCUAAUACCGGAUAGGAGCUCCUGCUGCAUGGUGGGGGUUGGAAAGUUUCGGCGGUUGGGGAUGGACUCGCGGCUUAUCAGCUUGUUGGUGGGGUAGUGGCUUACCAAGGCUUUGACGGGUAGCCGGCCUGAGAGGGUGACCGGCCACAGUGGGACUGAGAUACGGCCCAGACUCCUACGGGAGGCAGCAGUGGGGAAUAUUGCACAAUGGGCGGAAGCCUGAUGCAGCAACGCCGCGUGCGGGAUGACGGCCUUCGGGUUGUAAACCGCUUUCGCCUGUGACGAAGCGUGAGUGACGGUAAUGGGUAAAGAAGCACCGGCUAACUACGUG